GGAUAUGUGUUCAAGGUCGGCAUCCACGGCAAAGCUGAAGAAAAUAUUAUUGUGUACAUACAUGUGAAAGCAUUCUGGAUCAGUUGGAUUUAUUGGGGGUAUGCAUCUGCUGAUGACUCCAAUAGCACCGCUAAUAGCUGCAUCAACAAAGUCUGAAGUUACUUUGUAGAGAGCCCUAUCACGCAAAAUCCUUUCCUGUGGAG
rnacentral:misc_RNA from 1 species